rnacentral:rRNA from 1 species
UACGGCGGCCCGCAGUUCACACACGGGGCGCUGGUCAAACAUAACCUAGACCUUUACCCUGCACUCCCCAAUUCCCGCUCACUCCAACUGUCCUAAUUCUACCCGGAACUUACCUACGAGUUCGGCCGCUCGUCGUCAGUCGGACUCCCGUCGGCACACUUCUUUGGAUUGGGUUUUCUUUACUUGCGAAUAAACUCCCUGUUACCAUGACCUAUAGGCCUACUUCGGUGUCCACGUUACGUCGGUCAUCAACUUCUCUCUACCCCGAGUAACCCGGUUAAUCGACGUAGUCAUAGUUGCAUGUCUCAACGGAGAAGAAUGCGAGUAAACGUCAGGUAAUCCCCAUCUUUUCGACCUGUUCGUCUGUUGAGGCUCUUUAGUAAGCUUCAACUAACCUUCCUCCUAGCCGUUCCACAGAGGAGAGCCCUAGUACGGUACUCUUUUGAGUCUAGACUAAGACAUGGAACCUUCUUUUUAUCUGUAUUAUAUAGAAGACUCCUAGUUUGCGAGUAGAGCAGUCGUGAUCGUUCGUAGUUAUUUAAACGAGUGCUGCCCUCGAAAUACCUCUUUUAAUCUCUCAAGUUUCUAUGUAGUAGAAGUCACUCGUGAGAUUUCGAUUUACGUUUUGUCAAUCGACGCUUCCAAGACGUCGAGGCUUACUUUCCGUUUGUGCUUCUUCGACUGGUUGACAGCGUACUCGGACGUUGUUUUUGUCUACUAUUCUUACCAAACCUCCUCUAAGUGUUGAAGUUCUUCACGAAGGACUUCUACAAGCGCGCCGUCCUGUUCUAACACCAAAAGUACCUCUGACAGUAUUCGAACCAGUUCGUUGUCUCUGUACCGUACUAACUUACGUAGGGACAGGGUACGUUUUACGUCGUACUCUACUUCUUCGAAUAAGGUUGCUCACCAUUGGACGCCGUUCAGUAGGGUCUCUUGAAGCGGACGAAGGUACAUCUCAAACUACUACUCUCGUUCAAGUCACGUACAAAGUCUGACUUCCAAUAGUCUCCACAAGAGGCCAACGGCUCCCUCCUGUACGUGGCAGCGGCCUCCGUGCUUAGGUACUUAUUGGUCUUCGUUCGGCAACGGUCGAAGUACUCCCUAAACCUCGGGAAGUUGACCUGCUUCGUCGAGUUCAUC